UAAAAAACAAGUGAAAAAGCAUAGUUGAU
rnacentral:piRNA from 1 species